CCCUAACUCAUUUGCUUCGUUCGGGUUUCAAUUGCUUCGUUCGAGUUUCAUUCACGUUUUCCUCUGAAACCCAUCUUCUAUUUCGCGAACCCUAAUCUCAUUCUCACUCAGCCAGCCAUGGAUUGAAGACACUCAUGGAUUGAAACCUCCUUCUCAUCUCGCGAUUUACCUUUUCUUCCCCACGAGAUUUGGAUCGAAGAACGAAGGUGCGUCUUCCCCCGCUCAGUCAUGGACAACAAACAUUGAUCUCGUUCAGCUUGAUCUUCGUGUAAAUCAUAUGCGGGGGAAGGACCAUUUCCGUUCCUAUGGGUAAGGUUGACAUACUGGUGUUACCUCAUGAGAUUGAAACAGUUAUCUGCUGAUUUGCUGCACUUUUGUUUGUUGUUUCAGCUUGUCUGUGUCUAAUAUAAUUGUAUUCUAGCUUGGACUUGAACAACUUUGAGAGUGAUCCUGAAGAGUUUGCUAGAAUCUUCUGCAAAGACAUGGGUAUUGAGGAUCCUGAGGUUGGGAUUGCUAUUCAAAGUGUGGUUUCUGCAAGAGAAAGAAGAUUAAGCAAGAAGGGUCGUCGAGGGGGUGACUAUACUCCAAUCAGUACAUGAGGUGUUGUGGCAGUGGACUUGGUCAAGUUAUUUGGUCAGAAAUCUAUGUAGCUUUGAUACUUUCCUGGUAGAUCUAUUUUUAAGCCUGAUCUUAUAUGAUAACCAGUUUCAUUGUUACUUGCUUUAAUUUAUUGUUUUACAUGAUUGGUAGCAUGUUUUGGCUUGAUGUUGGAUAAUUGCUUUUAAAAGUCAGAGGCAGAAGAUUGGAAUAGCUUUGAGAGUAGUAAGCUUCUCCGAUUGCUGCUACCAGUGAGAGGUGUUCAGUAUUCCUUAUUGUUCAAUGAUAUAUGUGGAUUUUGGAUUGAGCUAAAUCAUCAUCUUUCAAUGCAGUGGAAACUGAAAAGGAAAGCGAUUGAAGUAAUGUUUACUAUGAUUUAUCUCAACUGGGAUAUAACAUAACUAGCACUAGGGCUUGUAAUUUCAUAUCUUUAUCUCAAUAGCAUGUAUAGAGCAACUUACCUAGUGUGGUUAUAGUCUCUCUUCCUUUUAUCUUGAUAAAAUAACCAACUCCAUUGUUUUGACUCUUCUAUUUAUCAUAAUCUAAUUUGUUGAAAUUUCCUAUUGUGCUUUGAAACUUUGUAUAUCUGAAUGAAUAUUUCCAAAUGUUAAUAGGAGCAGUGUUGUUAUGUGAAAAUAUGCUGCAGGAGAACUCAAGCCUCCAUCAACUGGCAUGUGGUCCCCGUUGUGGUCUUGGUGAACUCAUUCUACCUGAAAACGAACCUGGAAUCAGUAUGCCUGGGAAGGUUAAUCCUACUCAGUGUGAUGCUUUGACAAUGGUCUGUAGUCAUUUUGAGCUCAAUGUGUUCAAGCC